rnacentral:tRNA from 2 species
GGGUCGGUGCCCGAGCGGCCAAAGGGAGCAGACUGUAAAUCUGCCGGCACAGCCUACGAAGGUUCGAAUCCUUCCCGGCCCA